UACGUAGGGGGCAAGCGUUGUCCGGAAUUAUUGGGCGUAAAGAGCGCGUAGGCGGUCCGAUAAGUCGGCUGUGAAAGUCAGGGGCUCAACCCUUGAAAGCCGGCCGAUACUGUCGGACUAGAGUCCGGAAGAGGCGAGUGGAAUUCCCGGUGUAGCGGUGAAAUGCGCAGAUAUCGGGAAGAACACCCGUGGCGAAGGCGGCUCUCUGGGACGGUACUGACGCUGAGACGCGAAAGCGUGGGGAGCGAACAGG
rnacentral:rRNA from 1 species